CCCUUAGAUGUUCUGGGCCGCACGCGUGCUACACUGAGUGGAUCAGCGGGUCAGGUUGCGCGAAAGCGUUUCCUAAUCUUUAAAUCCGCUCGUGAUGGGGAUUGACGGUUGCAAUUUUCUGUCAUGAACGAGGAAUACCUUGUAAGCGCGGGUCAUCGUCCCGCGCUGAAUACGUCCCUGCCCUUUGUACACACCGCCCGUCGCUCCUACCGAUUGAGCGGUCCGGUGAGGCUUUGGGAUCUGAGCGGAAAGAGCGUUUCGCUGUUUCUGCUCGGAAAACUCAGUCGAACCUUAUCAUUUAGAGGAAGGAGAAGUCGUAACA
rnacentral:rRNA from 1 species